rnacentral:rRNA from 1 species
ACGAACGCUGGCGGCGUGCCUAAUCCAUGCCAGUAGAACGCUGAAGGCGGAGCUUGCUUCUCCGGAUGAGUUGCGAACGGGUGAGUAACGCGUAGGUAACCUGCCUGGUAGCGGGGGAUAACUAUUGGAAACGAUAGCUAAUACCGCAUAACAGUAGAUGUUGCAUGACAUUUGCUUAAAAGGUGCAAUUGCAUCACUACCAGAUGGACCUGCGUUGUAUUAGCUAGUUGGUGAGGUAACGGCUCACCAAGGCGACGAUACAUAGCCGACCUGGGAGGGUGAUCAGCCACACUGGGACGGAGACACGGCCCAGACGCCUACGGGAGGCAGCAGUAGGGAAUCGUCGGCAAUGGACGGAAGUCUGACCGAGCAACGCCGCGGGAGUGAAGAAGGGUGUCGGAUCGUAAAGCUCUGUUGUAAGAGAAGAACGAGUGUGAGAGUGGAAAGUUCACACUGUGACGGUAUCUUACCAGAAAGGGACGGCUAACUACGUG